CCUACGGGUGGCAGCAGUGAGGAAUAUUGGUCAAUGGCCGGAAGGCUGAACCAGCCAAGCCGCGUGAAGGACGAAGGUGCCAAGCAUUGUAAACUUCUUUUGUCAAGGGACAAAAUCAGGCUCGAGAGCCUGACCGAGGGUACUGGAAGAAAAAGCAUCGGCCAACUCCGGGCAAGCAGCCGCGGUAAUACGGAGGGUGCGAGAGUUAAUCGGAAUUACUGGGCGUAAAGCGCUCUUAGGCGGUAUGUCAAGUCAAGGGUGAAAGCCCAGCGCGCAACGUUGGAACUGCCUUUGAAACUGGCAAACUGGAUUGUGUGAGAGGAUAGUGGAAUUCCAGUUGUAGGAGUGAAAUCCGUAGAUAUCUGGAGGAACAUCAGUGGCGAAGGCGACUAUCUGGCACAUAACUGACGCUGAGGAGCGAAAGCGUGGGUAGCAAACAGGAUUAGAUACCCUUGUAGUC
rnacentral:rRNA from 1 species